rnacentral:misc_RNA from 1 species
UUAACUUAUUUAGCUAAUUGCUCAGACUGCAAUCUUCAGACAGCGUUCAAUGGUGUCUUCGGCGGGCGCGGGCCAGAGGGCAGAAGCCCCCCGGCGGCCAUACGGCGGGCCCGCCGAAGCAACAAGGUAUAAUAAACACGGGUGGGAGGUUGGACCCAGAGGGCCCUCACUCGGUAAUGAUCCUUCCGCAGGUUCACCUACGGAAA